CAGCAGCCGCGGUAAUACGGAGGGUGCAAGCGUUAAUCGGAAUUACUGGGCGUAAAGCGCACGCAGGCGGUUUGUUAAGUCAGAUGUGAAAUCCCCGAGCUUAACUUGGGAACUGCAUUUGAAACUGGCAGGCUAGAGUCUUGUAGAGGGGGGUAGAAUUCCAGGUGUAGCGGUGAAAUGCGUAGAGAUCUGGAGGAAUACCGGUGGCGAAGGCGGCCCCCUGGACAAAGACUGACGCUCAGGUGCGAAAGCGUGGGGAGCAAACAGGAUUAGAUACCCCUGUAGUCCCUGUCUCUUAUAC
rnacentral:rRNA from 1 species